rnacentral:rRNA from 1 species
ACGGAAGGCAGCAGUGGGGGAUAUUGCACAGUGGGCGAAAGCCUGAUGCAGCAACGCCGCGUGAGGGAAGACGGUUUUCGGAUUGUAAACCUCUGUCUUUGGUGAAGAAGAGAGUGACGGUAGCCGAGAUAGGAAGCCACGGCUAACUACGUGCCAGCAGCCGCGGUAAUACGUAGGUGGCGAGCGUUGUCCGGAUUUACUGGGUGUAAAGGGAGCGCAGGCGGGGCAGCAAGUUGGAUGUGAAAUACCGAGGCUUAACCUCGGAGCUGCAUCCAAAACUGCCGCUCUUGAGUGAAGUAGAGGUAGGCGGAAUUCCGAGUGUAGCGGUGAAAUGCGUAGAUAUUCGGAGGAACACCGGUGGCGAAGGCGGCCUACUGGGCUUUAACUGACGCUGAGGCUCGAAAGUGUGGGGAGCAAACAGGAUUAGAUACCCUGGUA